rnacentral:lncRNA from 1 species
UAUGUCAAAUAACAAACAUUAGAUAGGAUAAAUGAUGAAACACAAAUUAUGAUGAAGCAAUCAGACAGGGUUAACCAAAAUAACAUCAUCUGAUCGAGAAGAUGAAGAGAGAGUAGAGAAACCAAACUACAAAAAAAAAUUAGAGACCCAGUUCCGAUGAGGUGUAAGUCAUCGUAGCCGAAGGAGCGGCGGCACAAGACAAAACGAAAAAAAAGCUUUUUUUUUAACCGGGAUUCAAUCUUGUUUUCUGUAAAUAUCUGUAACAAUUAUUGAUAAUUAGAGAAGAUUUUCCUGCAAAUUAUAGCUUGUAC